GUGAGGGUGAUGAACAAAAUCAAUCGGAUGUCCCAAUGAUUAAAAAAAUGUGAUUACUAACCAGCUACUUUUGACUCAU
rfam:Brassica napus, WGS project CCCW01000000 data, contig: 9481